CGAUAGGGGUGGGGCUUGCAGCGGAAAUGGCCUUUCUGCCACUACGGGCUGGGAAGAUGCUGCGUCCUUUGUUAACGUGUCUGUACCUUGGCCUGUGCAGCCUCUUGGUGGGGCUGGCGGAGGCCCCGAACCCCAUGGAUCCGUUCAAGUGGAGCCGGCCGUACGCAGUGCUGCGUGGGCAGAACCUGGUGAUGUUGGGAACCAUUUUCAGCAUCCUGCUGGUGACCGUCAUCCUUAUGGCAUUUUGUGUCUACAAGCCCAUUCGGCGUCGGUGACAGCCAAGCAAACAAGUUCUUCCAUGAGUUCUUGGACACAGGAAAAGUUGUGUUGCACAUGGGCCAGUGGAGAAGUUGGAAUCAGAACUUUCCUACUUGGAAGUGACCUUCGGUCUGGACAAUUGGUAAAUGGUAAAUGAUUUAGAAAAAGCAUCUCUAAGCAGUUAUUUUUUUCCUAACACUAUAAUGCAAAUAAUCGGCCACUGAGUCUGCCUGUGUUUCUUUUUUUUAAUUUGGCUGUGCUUACUAAAAGACAGGCCUGAAGCCCAAGGUUCAAUGUAAAGAUGGAGUUCUCGUGAGAAAGAAAACAUGACAACCCCGUGUCUGUAAACCACACUGGAAAAGACUAAUCAUUAAUGCUUGAAAAUAUUAAUAAGAGGAAGACCUACCAUGUAGUCAUUCCCUAUUUAAGAACCAUUCAGUCACAGUGGGUUAAACAUCACAAAUGUUUUUCAUUUCAUCUGAGCUGGACUAGAAUGUUCUGGUUGCAAAGCAGUAGCAGCUGUGUCCCCACAGCUGGCAGUCCUCACCUGGAUCUGGGUCUGCGCUCAGGUGCCCCCACUGAAGUCAGGUCACAUGUGGCAGACCUGUUACCACGUGCACCUUGGCCUGGGGAUAGACUGGAAAUAUCACUAGUUGGCCCAUCUUAAAAAGAACUCCGUCCACUCAGGCAUGUUGAUCCCUCCUGUACGACACUUAAGGCUUUCCAGCCCACAGCCUAAAACUCUGGGUACCUUUUCAGAUUUGGAAUCUAGAAGCGGCUCAGCAGGAGCGCCUGUCAGCCGGGGGUGGGGAGGGCUUACCCAACAGGAAGUGCAUGUUCACUGUGCUGGCCAGUGUGUGUUCACAGAUUGAAUCUCAACUUGGAAAACGCUGCUAUUAUGUUGCACUGUUAGUGAACUGGAUUUUUUUCCCCUAUUGAAAUGAUACUUGUACUUAUAAAGUGGUUAUCAGUAUUUAUUUUAAGGUGUUAGAUUUAAUUUUGUUAUUAAUGGAAAUGUUUAUCUUGUGCUUCAUUGAAGCACAGCACCAAUCUCUUUAUUUUUGUUAACAGCCUGCACUUAAUGUGAAAUAACUGAUGUGGUAUACUGUAACUGUUUAAGAAUUUGUUGUAACAUUGAGCCAUUGAAACGUUCACUGUUCUGUGCUUUUGAGCAAAAUGUCAAUUAAAGUAAAAUCCUACGCGCUGUUCUA